AGCAAAAGAAGAAGCUGCAUAGUGACAUAGUUGUACUGGAGGCUUCAGUAACUCUUCUCUGUCUUUCUGUGAAUGGGACUGUUCUUUUAUGGCAAGAAUCCUGGGGGAUAAAAUCUCCAGGCAUGUAUAUCAUGCAAAUAUGCAUAACAACAUUGCUGAAGAGGCUGACUUGUCCCUGCAGUCCAGACUGCACCAACUGAGCGACUUCAAUUAAACAGUUUCUCGCAUUUUGUGUUGAGAUCUGAGCUGCU
rnacentral:lncRNA from 1 species